rnacentral:rRNA from 1 species
CAGCCGCCACGGUAAAACGUAGGUGGCGAGCGUUGUCCGGAUUUAUUGGGCGUAAAGGGAGUGUAGGCGGUCUUUUAAGUCUGAUGUGAAAGCCCACGGCUCAACCGUGGAGGGUCAUUGGAAACUGGGAGACUUGAGUGCAGAAGAGGAGAGCGGAAUUCCAUGUGUAGCGGUGAAAUGCGUAGAUAUAUGGAGGAACACCAGUGGCGAAGGCGGCUCUCUGGUCUGUAACUGACGCUGAGGCUCGAAAGCGUGGGGAGCAAACAGGAUUAGAUACCCGUGUAGUCCCUGUCUCUUAUAC